UUACCAUGACAAGUACUCGGUUAGGAAGCAGUUCCUCCAUGAACGACAACGUGAAAACAGCUUUAGUGUUCUUUUCCGAAGUUCUCCGUAUUGUGAAGAAUCUGGAGGAGUUCAACGACGAGACGAUCUGCAAUGGAAAAGUAAAUGCUGACCAUGAAACAGCCUACCAGUAUCACGAGUGAUCCAACUGAAGUCUAUCUAAAACAAUUUCAAGUUCAUCUGAAGCUAACCAAUCGAUAGACCUGAGAAGAAGAAGAAAAUUAAAAUAAACGAUCCUGGAGCUCGGUGGAAUAUCGGCGUGAAAUUAAUUGAAGAGUUUGACAAAUAGAAUGGCCUUCGGCAACCGGCCGAUUCCAUUCGCACUCGAUGGUCGAUUCUCAACGUAUGGAAUGGGAAAGGGAGAGCACGGAAAAUUAAGAAAAAACACACCAGGGUUAAUUCUUUCGCUCGCUCGGCAACGUGGUUACGCUCCAAUUCACCCUACUUUCCUCAACUCUUUUUCUCGUUCUUUCUCUUGAUCUCGACGGUGUUAUUCGAUCUUAAUUGCUAUAUUUGCUUAAAGAUGGAAGAUAAUUCGUAAUAUUUGAGCUUCUCAGAAUGUCCUUACUUACACGUUCGCGAGCUAAACAAAAAUAUUCAGACAAAGCAGCGCUAUUUUUUUAUCGACAUUUAUAAAUAAUAUAGUUGAAACAAUAAAUGAUUUACUUCAAGUUUAAAGUAAAGCAUAUUUUGAAGACAUAUACAGAGGGUGA